UCCAGACUCCUACGGGAGGCAGCAGUGGGGAAUAUUGCACAAUGGGGGAAACCCUGAUGCAGCGACGCCGCGUGAGUGAAGAAGUAUUUCGGUAUGUAAAGCUCUAUCAGCAGGGAAGAAAAAAGACGGUACCUGACUAAGAAGCCCCGGCUAACUACGUGCCAGCAGCCGCGGUAAUACGUAGGGGGCAAGCGUUAUCCGGAUUUACUGGGUGUAAAGGGAGCGUAGACGGAGAAGCAAGUCUGAAGUGAAAGCCCGGGGCUCAACCCCGGGACUGCUUUGGAAACUGCCUGACUGGAGUGCUGGAGAGGCAAGCGGAAUUCCUAGUGUAGCGGUGAAAUGCGUAGAUAUUAGGAAGAACACCAGUGGCGAAGGCGGCUUGCUGGACAGUAACUGACGUUGAGGCUCGAAAGCGUGGGGAGCAAACAGGAUUAGAUACCCGCGUAGAU
rnacentral:rRNA from 1 species